UACGUAGGGGGCAGGCGUGUCCGGAAUUAUUGGGCGUAAAGCGCGCGCAGGCGGCUUUGUAAGUCUGUCGUUUAAGUUCGGGGCUCAACCCCGUAUCGCGAUGGAAACUGCAAGGCUUGAGUGCAGAAGAGGAAAGUGGAAUUCCACGUGUAGCGGUGAAAUGCGUAGGAGAAUGUGGAGGAACACCAGUGGCGAAGGCGACUUUCUGGGCUGUA
rnacentral:rRNA from 1 species